rnacentral:lncRNA from 1 species
GAUAUAUAUGUACACACACACACACACACACACACACACACACACACACACAGAACAUACCAAAGAUAUAGAACCAUAGGCACGAAAGGACAUUGAAAAGCAUCUUCCUGCCUAAACAAAAGAUAAUACUACAAUAAUUUUAUUCUAAAAACUAUAACAAUAACAAAACUCAAUUUAACUUAGUUUUUUUAUCAGAAUAACUUUACACCAUCACACUAAUAUCACAUGAAAGAAAAGACAUGCUAAUUUUUCAGAAUAAUUACUCUAUACUACAGACUAUUCUGUUCAAUACAUGUCUAGAUAUCACCAUAUCAUUAAGAAAUGCACACAUGAACAGAGACAACAUGGAGUCUCUAUUAAGAGACAUAUAAACCAACUGAUCCAGACACAGCGAGAACUCAGAUUUUUGAGCCAUCAGACAGGGUAUUACAAAUAAUCACAAUUAACAUUUUUAAGUCUUGAUCGGAGAAUGAUAGAUUGCAUGCAUGAAACAGAUGAGAAAGUUUCAGUAGAGGGGGAACAACUGAAAAACUAUAAUGAAGACUCAAAAAAAUGCUAGAAAGAAAACACAAGGUAAUAGGACUGAAAAAGAUUUGCACUAGGUUCGUCAGCAGGCUCUCAGAGCCAAGAGGAGAAUGAGUGAACUUUAAGGACUAUUAGGAUAAAUCACCUGAGAAGGACUACAAAGAGAAAAGUACUUCUUAAAAGUUCAAAGCACAUGCCUGGUAGCUUGAGGUGUGUCAGACAUGGCAGCAGAAACACACCCAGAAUCUGAGAAAGGGGAGAUAACUUGAAGGCACAAGAGCUGAGAAUUCUGUAUUUUUCUGAAGAAACAUAGCAGUUUCAUUUUAGUGCAGAAUGUUGUAACAAGAAGAGACACUGAAAUCAUCAAAUGUUCCAGUCACUUUCAGAAUGCGUUGGGUGAGGGACAGCGCUAAAGAGCCUUGAAGAAAAGGUCAUGGAGAAAUCUCAUUGCUUGGACUAUAUGGAGUUGUCUAGGCCCCAGAUACCCCUGCAGAUGUCUGGUUACAUAGUAUUUCAUGUCUUGAAGUCAAUGCAUCUAAUUCCUGCUACUAACAUUUGAAAUGGUUAAGUUAGUGACUUUAAAAGCUGUAUUCAUUACUGUAUAUAUAGCCCUAUAUUAUGACAUGGAGAUGAGUCAAAGUUGAAUGAAUCUCAGUUUCUGUUCAGCAGACAAUUACAAUUACAUCUGUUAUCCAUGGGUUCUGCAUCCAUAAAUUCAACCAACCACAGAUAAGAAAUAUUUAGCAUAAGUUGCAUCUUCCCUGAGUACCUAUACUGAUUUACUUGAAAUUUUUCCUUAAAUAAUAUUGCACAACAGCUGAUUAUAUAAAGCAUACUUUGAAUCAGACAUCAUAAGUUAUUUAGAGGUGAUUUCAAAUAUAUGGUAAUUGUGUAUAAGUUAUAUACAAAUACCACAUCAUUUUGGGUGACCUUAGAUGUUGGUGGCCUGAAAGAAGCUAACGGAUAAGUUAGUGCCUUUGGGAGGGGUUGAAGCAUAUCAUCCCUUCUCUCUUUAAAUGCUUCAGGAAAAACAAUAGUAUGUUACAUUUAUUGGAUACUAUGUAUCCUUUCACUCACAGAUGGGAGGCGGAGACAUAAAACUGAGGAACUAUUUCAUAUCUUCUACACAUGACUUGUUUAGUACAGGACAUCCAGCAUGGCUGACUGCGACUGCAACUUGCCCAGCAUCUUAGGAGAAAAUUCUCAUUGCGUAUGGCUAGCCUGGGAAAAUACCAAGUUCAUUAAUAAAUUCUGCCUCUGUAUAUAUGUGAACUCUGCUGUUUACUGAACACUGUUUACAUCACAAGUGUCUGAGAGCUCAUUUAUGAAGUGAGAUUAAUAAUAUUUACCAUGUUUACCAUGUUGAGGAUUUAAGUGCUGUGAUAGGAAGACUGUUGAUCAUAUUUAUGUUACUCCUCAAUCUGUUUGUUAUUUGUUUAAAGCAUGUAGCUCAUCCUGAAGAUGCUCCCUUGUGAUUACAGCUCUUUGCUGGUGCUGAGUUACUGGGGCCAGCUGCCUUUGCCGUUGUCUUUUGCCUUCUUAGUAAGAAUCGUCUGUAGUAUCACUUUAGCUACUAAGGAAGAGUAUUUCUACUGUGUAACUGUAAGAGGAUACUUUUCCUUGUGUAAGUAUUUUCAUAAAAAGUUUGACCUGAUUUUGAGAAUAUUUGAAAAUGUGGCACAAAUAACAAAUAUAAUGAACAAUAUGUUCCAAAUGUAUUCCUUUUGUGCAUUUUAAAUUAAAAUUGCAGUUAAACAUUAAUUCAAUUUAUAUAGAAUUCCUAUUAAAAUAGGAUGAGGUCUGCCAGAUCCUGCAGCUUUUGGGAAUAUCUCCUAGAAAUGACUCUUUUUGGCUCAUUUCUGGAAAUGGAAGCCAAUUAGAAAUUAAAAAGCAGUUGAAAACUUUCCCAUCAAUGACAAUAUAAAAUAUGAAUUUUUUAGG